rnacentral:rRNA from 1 species
UGGGGAAUAUUGGACAAUGGGCGAAAGCCUGAUCCGGCCAUGCCGCGUGUGUGAAGAAGGCCUUUUGGUUGUAAAGCACUUUAAGUGGGGAGGAAAAGCUUGUGGUUAAUACCCAUAAGCCCUGACGUUACCCACAGAAUAAGCACCGGCUAACUCUGUGCCAGCAGCCGCGGUAAUACAGAGGGUGCAAGCGUUAAUCGGAAUUACUGGGCGUAAAGCGCGCGUAGGUGGUUAUUUAAGUCAGAUGUGAAAGCCCCGGGCUUAACCUGGGAACUGCAUCUGAUACUGGAUAACUAGAGUAGGUGAGAGGGGAGUAGAAUUCCAGGUGUAGCGGUGAAAUGCGUAGAGAUCUGGAGGAAUACCGAUGGCGAAGGCAGCUCCCUGGCAUCAUACUGACACUGAGGUGCGAAAGCGUGGGUAGCAAACAGGAUUAGAUACCCUGGUAGUCCACGCCGUAAACGAUGUCUACCAGUCGUUGGGUCUUUUAAAGACUUAGUGACGCAGUUAACGCAAUAAGUAGACCGCCUGGGGAGUACGGCCGCAAGGUUA